rnacentral:lncRNA from 1 species
UAAUACCACUUUCGGUCUCUUUAUUGGGAGACAGGCUGCCUAUAAAUAAACAAACAAACAAAUAAUGCUUGUUUUUCUCUUGACAUCGGCUCCUCUGGAGAUCUGGUGUACCUACUCCGAAGGCGCCCUUGGGGAAGCCAACAAUGCCAGAUUCAAUGGGCAUCAUAUCUAGGCACAUGGCUUUUAAAAGGCACUUCUGUGGUCCAACACAAGGCAGAGUCUCUCUGAGCGGCUGCAGGUGAACACACCAGGGCACCAAAGGGCCUGCAAACUCACCAUUCAAGAACAACCAGGGCGUGGUGUUCAAGAACGCCGAGACAUGACUCUGCUUGCCCCUUGUUCAGGAUGAUGCCUUUUGAAAAUAAUUGAAUGUUGAGCCUCAAGAGAAGCGCAAUGCGAGUUCAAUAUGCACUCAGCCAGUGGACAAAGAAAAUGCCCCACAUUGAGAAUCAAAAUUUGGGGGUGGAAGAGAGAAGGGGAUGAUCUCCCUCCGGGUGAUGGACCAAUUUCAAGAGUCAUUUCGUGAUGAUUAAACACGAGGAACAGAAAAAGAAAGUACGAGUCAGCCCUUCAAGCAAGAUUUCAUCAAGGAAGUCGUUUUAGAAGUGGGGGGAAAAUUAACUCCAUUAUUUCCUGCUUGGGAAUGCAGAUGGACAAUUCCAUGUUUUGGGAUCGAACGGAAAAUAAAGGGGAGAACAGGUGAAAGCGUUUGACUGUUGGCAUUUCUCACCUGGCUGUCUGUCUAAAGAUGAACGCAGGGACACUUUCCGCCAAUGAAACAGACCGGCUGGGAAACCUCCGAUUUAAGAUUAACGCUCAACAGCGUUCCUUUCCAGGGGCCAAAGGACGCAUGCAUACAAGAGGCAACCUCCAGAGGGGAAAAGGCCCCAGGGUCAGGAAGGAGGCAGGGUCAGCAGGGCGCGCGCAGGAGGCCCUGGGGCGCCUCUGCCCCGCAUCCAGAGCGGAAAGGAUCCGUCCCAAGUGACCCUCUCGCACACCGCCUGGCGGGGAGGAGGGGACGCUCCACUCCGCGAGAGGGGCUUGAGUUUCCCCCAAGGACCCAAGGCCGGCGCCAAGGCAGAGCCAGAGCCACCCGCGCGCCGCCAUCGCCGGUCUCCGCCCCGCCGGGCCUCCUUUCCACUCUCCGGCGACGCCAAGCCUCGACUGAGCCAGGCCAGGUCGGAGCCCCAGGCAGACAGGUAGGAGGGAGGGGAGGGCGCUGA